AGUGAACGCUGGCGGUAGGCCUAACACAUGCAAGUCGAACGGCAGCACAGUAAGAGCUUGCUCUUACGGGUGGCGAGUGGCGGACGGGUGAGGAAUACAUCGGAAUCUACUUUUUCGUGGGGGAUAACGUAGGGAAACUUACGCUAAUACCGCAUACGACCUACGGGUGAAAGCAGGGGAUCUUCGGACCUUGCGCGAUUGAAUGAGCCGAUGUCGGAUUAGCUAGUUGGCGGGGUAAUGGCCCACCAAGGCGACGAUCCGUAGCUGGUCUGAGAGGAUGAUCGGCCACACUAGAACUGAGACACGGUCCAGACUCCUGCGGGAGGCAGCAGUGGGGUAUAUUGGACAAAGGGCGCAAGCCUGAUCCAGCCAGACCGAGUGGGUGGAGGAGGCCUUCGGGUUGUAAAGCCCUUUUGUUGGGAGAGAAAAGCAGCAGGUUAAUACCCCGCUGUUCUGACGGUACCCAAAGAAUAAGCACCGGCUAACUUCGUG
rnacentral:rRNA from 1 species